UACGGAGGGGGCUAGCGUUGUUCGGAAUUACUGGGCGUAAAGGGCUCGUAGGCGGCCAACUAAGUCAGACGUGAAAUCCCUCGGCUUAACCGGGGAACUGCGUCUGAUACUGGAUGGCUUGAGUUUGGGAGAGGGAUGCGGAAUUCCAGGUGUAGCGGUGAAAUGCGUAGAUAUCCGGAGGAACACCGGUGGCGAAGGCGGCUUCCUGGACCGACACUGACGCUGAGACGCGAAAGCGUGGGGAGCGAACAGG
rnacentral:rRNA from 1 species